GACACAAUUUGAGCUUGCUAUAG
rnacentral:piRNA from 1 species